rnacentral:rRNA from 1 species
GUAGGGAAUAUUGGACAAUGGGGGGAACCCUGAUCCAGCCAUGCCGCGUGGAGGAAGACUGCCCUCUGGGUUGUAAACUCCUUUUAUAUGGGAAGAACCGUCCUCAUUAAUGAGUGACCUGACGGUACCAUAGGAAUAAGCACCGGCUAACUCCGUGCCAGCAGCCGCGGUAAUACGGAGGGUGCAAGCGUUAUCCGGAUUCACUGGGUUUAAAGGGUGCGUAGGCGGAUAAAUAAGUCAGUGGUGAAAUCAACGGGCUCAACCUGUUAACUGUCAUUGAUACUGUGUAUCUUGAAUAUGAGAGAGGUAGGCGGAAUGUUGCAUGUAGCGGUGAAAUGCUUAGAUAUGCUACGGAACACCGAUUGCGAAGGCAGCUUACUAUUUCGUAAUUGACGCUGAGGCACGAAAGCGUGGGUAGCGAACAGGAUUAGAAACCCUUGUAGUCC